AAUAAUGCAAGUCGAGCGGUAAGGCUCUCACAGUUUGCUUAAAUCAAAGCGUUUCUGUUUUGAAUAAUUUGAGCAAAAUGUGAGAGUACACGAGCGGCGGACGGCUGAGUAACGCGUAGGAACGUACCCCAAACUGAGGGAUAAGCACCAGAAAUGGUGUCUAAUACCGCAUGUGGUCUUCGGAUUAAAGCUUCGGCGGUUUGGGAACGGCCUGCGUAUGAUUAGCUAGUUGGUGAGGUAAUGGCUCACCAAGGCGACGAUCAUUAGCUGGUCUGAGAGGAUGAUCAGCCAGACUGGGACUGAGAACGGCCCAGACUCCUACGGGAGGCAGCAGUCGGGAAUUUUCCACAAUGGGCGAAAGCCUGAUGGAGCAACGCCGCGUGCAGGAUGAAUGCCUUCGGGUUGUAAACUGCUUUUAUAUGUGACGAUUAUGACGGUAGCAUAUGAAUAAGGAUCGGCUAACUCCGUGCCAGCAGCCGCGGUCAUACGGAGGAUCCAAGCGUUAUCCGGAAUUACUGGGCGUAAAGAGU
rnacentral:rRNA from 1 species